rnacentral:sRNA from 1 species
CAAACUUAUUCAAUCCCAAUCUCAGCGCCUAACCACAAACAACCAGUCAUGAGUUCAUACACCCCACCAACUUGUAAAAUAUAUGAUGUUUUGAUUGUUUCGGCAGGUUUGGUGCUUGCGGGAGAAGGGGGGGAAAUCCCUGCUUCAUCGACCCCUGCGCAAAUCGUGGAAACUAAUCAAGGUCAUCAGGGAACAUCAUGAACUCUCCACACACACACACAGCCCGCGGGCCCCCUGGCGCUAUAUUCCUUAAUAUCUACUCUGUGUACACACCCUUAUGCAAGAUACAUCCACUUCUAGUCUGUGGGAAAAAGCGUCUAUCUGUUUGGAGGGGGGGGGGUUUAGGCGGGGCAAAAUAAAUGAAUUGAAUACCUCAAGAUUCUGUUUCCCGACUCCUUUCCUGGUUUCUUCGGUUAAGUGGGGGAGGAGGACUGGACCAAGCCC